rnacentral:ncRNA from 2 species
ACAGAAUAUCCGGAGUAUGGUAAUUCCCGCACAGGGAUAUCGGAAUACGGUGAGAAUCCGUAGCGGUCCCGCCAUCGUAACCGGACUAACGAGCCGGAAGCCGGGAGACGGUCCUUGUGCUUAUUACCUGA